rnacentral:rRNA from 1 species
AUACGGAGGGUGCGAGCGUUAAUCGGAAUCACUGGGCGUAAAGCGCACGUAGGCUGUCUGGCAAGUCAGGGGUGAAAUCCCGCGGCUCAACCGCGGAACUGCCUUUGAAACUGUCAGCCUUGAGUAUCGGAGAGGGUGGCGGAAUUCCAGGUGUAGGAGUGAAAUCCGUAGAGAUCUGGAAGAACACCGGUGGCGAAGGCGGCCACCUGGACGAAAACUGACGCUGAGGUGCGAAAGCGUGGGUAGCAAACAGGAGUAGAUCCCCUGGUAGUCCACGCUGUAAACGAUGGAUGCUGGGUGCUGGGAGAAUAGCUUUCGGCGCCGUAGUUAACGCGAUAAGCAUCCCGCCUGGGGAGUACGGUCGCAAGGCUGAAACUCAAAUGAAUUGACGGGG